UGUAUUUUGUAAAGUUGUUCUAGUUUUGUAACUAAAAUGGUUUGGCAGUGAGCGAUUCUUAUUAGGGGAAUAUGCAUAGUGAAGGAUGGUCCACCUAUUAGUUUACUCUUUUUAUGUUGGUGUAUGUCUGGUUUGAUAUUAUUGUUGAAUAAUUUAAGUUUGUGUAGUUUUAGUUAAGCUAAGUCUAUGUGCUGCUUAUGGGAGUUUUUGUGUGUUACAUUAAUAAGGGUGUUAUUGUAAGAUGAUGUGAUUUAGGAC
rnacentral:rRNA from 1 species